UUUUAGUUUGCCUUCCCGAAACUAAGUGAGCUACUUUAAAGCAGCUAUUAGAGCUAACCCGUCUCUGUCGCAAAAGAGUGGGGUGACUUUAAAGUAGAGGUGAUAGACCUACCGAACUUAGAGAUAGCUGGUUUUUUAAGAAAAGAAUUUUAGUUCAGCCCCAAGCCUUUCGUUAAGCAAAAAACCUUCUUAGGCCUGGGAGUCAUUCAUAUAGGGCACAGCCUAUUUGAAACAGGAUACAACCUAGAAUAUAGGGUAAAACAAUGUGAUUUUUCUAUAAGUGGGCUUGAAAGCAGCCACCUUUCAAAAAGCGUUGUAGCUUAUUGAUACUGAUUAUUUAAUAACCUCAAAAAUGUUUAACCCACACACACUAUUAAACUAUCCCAUAAAUUUAUGGGAGCUAUCAUGCUAGAACAAGUAACAAGAAAAAGAUUUUUCUCCAAAAUACAAGCUUUAGCCGCUACAGACAAACUACCGGCAAUUAACGCCUUUUAACUAAUUUAGUAACUCUAACAAGA
rnacentral:rRNA from 1 species